ensembl:lncRNA
GGGAGCGGAAAUGGUGCGGGGAGUCAGCCCCUGGGGCCGCCCGGGGAGCUGGGAUGCAGCGCGGGCCACGUGCGCCCGGCAGUACUUAGGUGGUGGCGGCCGGCAGGCGGUGGGGGAGACCUUCCGUGAACUGGCCUUUGCUCCGCCGAGACGACCACCCCUUAGCCGCAGGGGCGCCCGGUGUUUUUCUGCUUUGAUUUCUGAGGCUACUGACGCCCCGAGCGGAGCCGGCAUCUCCAGACCAGGCCGUGGAGCUGCAGCGAGAAGAAUGUGCCUGCUUUGGCUGUGGAUCGCGAGCGCCCGGGCCGCAAAGAUUCAGGGAGAGGUGGGGACGACACGUCAAAGACAUUAUGAGGAAGAAGAUGAAACUCAAAGGCUCUGGCAGCCCCCUCCGUGCUGUUUAUGA